rnacentral:rRNA from 1 species
AAAACUUACCAGGUCAAGACAUGGGCGUGAUUGACAGGCUAAUGACUUUUCUCGAUUCCAUGGAUGGUGGUGCAUGGUCGCACUUAGUUGGUGCAGUGAUUUGUCAGGUUUAUUCCGGUAACGAACGAGACCUCGGCCUUGUAAAUAGCUAUGCUGCUUACAGGGACAUUGGCGGCUACGCCAAGGAAGCUCGAGGCAAUUGCAGAUCUGGAAUGCCCUUAGAUGUCCUGGGUCGCACGCGUGCUACAAUGACGCCACGAACGAGCUUGCGUGAUGAAAGUUACGCAUAAUCAGCAGUCGGCGUCUUAAGGGAUAGUCUCUUGUAACUGUGGGACUCCAACUAGGAAUGUCUCGUAAGCACAAGUCAACAUCUUGUGUUGAUUACGUCCCUGCUCUUUGUACACACCGCCCGUCGCUCCUACCGAUCGAGUGUUUAGGUGAAUUUGAUGGACGUAAGGAAGUCAAAUAAACCUGAGCACUAGAGAAGAGAAGUCGAGAUU